rnacentral:rRNA from 1 species
CUUAUGGUUUCACGGUAUUGCAAUGAGAACAAUUUAAAACCCUUAGCGAGAAUCAAGUGGAGGACAAGUCUGGUGCCAGCACCCGCGGUAAUUCCAGCUCCACUAGCGUAUAUUAAAGUUGUUGCAGUUAAAAAGCUCGUAGUUGAACCUCUGUCUGGGGCUAGUUUUGGCUUUGGUCAGGCUAGUUCUAGGCAUCCGCCUACAAGACUUAGAGGGCAUUCAGUUGUUCACUAGGAGGAGUAGGCAUUUUACUUUGAAAAAAUUAGAGUGUUUAAGGCAGGCAAUCGCCCGCAUAUAUUAGCAUGGAAUGAUAGAAUAGGACUCUUUUCCAUUUCGUUGGUUAUUGGAAUCGUGUAAUGAUUAAUAGGGACAGUUGUGGGCAUUUGUAUUUAAUUGUCAGAGGUGAAAUUCUUGGAUUUAUUAAAGACAAACUAACGCGAAAGCAUUUGCCAAGGAUGUUUUCAUUAAUCAAGAACGAAAGUUAGGGGAUCAAAGACGAUCAGAUACCGUCCUAGUCUUAACUAUAAACUAUUCCGACUCAAUGUUUGACUGGCUUAUAUAACCAGUUGAGCGUUGUAUGAGAAAUCAAAGUCUUUAGGUUCUGGGGGGAGUAUGGUUGCAAAGCUGAAACUUAAAGGAAUUGACGGAAGAGCACAACCAGGAGUGGAUUCUGCGGCUUAAUUUGACUCAAUACGGGGAAAUUUACCAGGUUAAAACAAUAGUGGGAUUGACAGUUUGAGAGCGCUUUCUUGAUUGGUUGGGUGGUGGUGCAUGGCCGUUCUUAGUUGGUGGAGUGAUUUGUCUGCUUAAUUGCGUUAACGAACGAGACCUUAACCUGCUUACUAGACUGGCGAUCAUCAAUCGUUAGCUCUUCUUAGAGGGACUUUGGUUGUUUUAACUCCAAGGAAGUUUGAGGCAGUAACAGGUCUGUGAUGCCCUUAGAUAUCCUGGGCCGCACGCGUCAUACAAUGACUAGUUCAGAAAGUUUUCUCCUGACCCGAAAGGGGAUGGGUAAUCUUGAUAAUACUAGUAGUGUUAGGGAUCGAUCUUUGUAAUUAUAGAUCUUGAACGAGGAAUUCCUAGUAAGUGCGGUUCAUCAGACCGUACUGAUUACGUCCCUGCUCUUUGUACACACCGCCCGUCGCUUCUACCGAGUGGGUGGUCCGGUGAGAUAAUUGAACUUCGCAGGUAACUGAGAGGAAAGAUUAUCAAACCUAUCCACCU